rnacentral:lncRNA from 1 species
GGUUAAUGAAUUGAUAAUAUAUUUAUUUAAAAUUUUUUGUAAAAUUAUUAAAAUAUGAAAACACCUAAUUGAUCGUAUUUUGACGUGAACAACAAACACUCACGACAAUAGACAUUGUGUUUUGACCUUUAUCCGCUCUCGCGUAAAGAGAGUCGCAAAGAAACCCUUAAUCCAAUCAUUGUUUGGGUCAUCACUCUGGAUCUAACCAACCAUUCUUGAAGAAGAUGAUAGCUGUGAUAGGAUUGAUUCUGGAUUUCUCAAAAUGGCUUCCCACUCUCCUGAGGCUAGAGCUAGAGGCAACCACUAUUCAGAUGUUUGUUUUUGAGGAGACAGAGCAUGUCACCUUCUGAAUCUCAAAACAUAGACAGUAUGGAGGAUAUUUUAUGGUUGUCCAUAUCUCUGUUUUGUAGGAUGCUUUUGAAUUGUUGAGCCUUCAGGUGUCUUGAUUGAAUUGCAUACAUCAAUCUCGCCAGUAAGAUCAAUCCACUUUUAUUUUUCUCUUCGCUCCCCAUUGCAAGCCAAAAUCUAAGCAAAGACAUGUAUCAUUUGCAAGUCCAUGAAGUAAGUGCCACAACGACAGAAGAGUAGCUUUUCUCAUCAGCCUUUUUUUGCUAUUUUCCCCGCCAUCUCUGGUUAAUUUAGUAUGUUAGCCACAAAAAUGAAUUAAGUAGACAAAGGUAAAGUGGAUGGUUUAAGAAACGUACAUUAAAAGCAGCAGUUUGAAGAGUAUCAUUUUCUACAUGUGUUUCAGAAGAAGAGCUUGUAUUAUCCCCCUUAUGUGAAUCACCAUAAACUAAAGAACUACGGUCUACGGCUGAGAACAGAUAUCAAGUUUUCCAUGAACGUAAAUGGAAGCUCUGUAUGUCCAUACCGACAAUAAAAAGGCAUGUACCACGGCGGCGAUGUCAGUCCCAAAGAGAUGAAUAUGAAGUGAGUCGGUGUUUCCAUUGAACCUCACGCCGCAGGUGAGUAAACCAAACACCACGAAAGCUCUCCCCACAGGUUUACCGGCGCUAAUGGAGUAAUUGUCUUGAACCGUCGAUCAAUCUCUUCAAAGAGAAGUAAGAACUCUCAUCCUCAUCUCCUCACAAAGAGUCUUUCGCCAUAGCCUUUCGACGAAGCCCACUUCACAAUGAACGGCGGCAGCAAAGAUUUUCCACCACCAUGUGGUUUGUGCCAACUGUAGAUAAGACAAAAACGAUCGAAAGCGGUCCGAAUUGUUUAUCAAACGAUCUUGUGGAGAGAAAAGAGAAAAACAGAAAGAGAUAUAAAAUCUACCAUCUGAUAAACACCAAUAAAAAGCUACUAAAAAAAUAAGUUUCAAAGUUUUAAUAGAAAUAAUUUGAAGUCACUGUUAUGAGGAGCAUAAGAACAUGCUUACCUUUGAAUCCAGUAACGGCAUAUCAACUUCCCAUGAGUUCCCACCGCGCCUGACAUUCGUCGCCUCCCAGCAUCAAUCUAACCUCAACAGUUGAAGAACAUAAACUGGACUUCAAAUUAGAGAGGAAAACUUUGGAGUUAGCCAACUUGCUUGAAGAAUAAGCUUACUUUGCUACUUACAAAGACUGAAAAGAUGGUUCUGAGAGGAAAGAAGCUAACCUAUUAAUACUCGCAGAUACACAGCCUCCUACAAAACAAACUCGUAUUGAAGGUUUAGAUCGUGGUUGGUGAAUUUAAUAAGAGGCUAAACGGAAUGAAUCUGUAAUGGGAACGUUUCAAUUGAUGAAUACAAAGAUCAAACGUCAAGACCAAAACCCAAAGAAGAGUAUUCACGCUUUCUCCACCAUCAAAAUCUCUCUAAUGGCAGAGAAGAGGCGGAUGAACCCAAAACGUCGUGAAGCCGAGGAAGACACGAUAGUCGCUUUGGGGCUUGAACUGCUGAGUAAAUAGAAGGCCCAACCAUGAAGCCCACAAAUAUUAAGCACGACUUUAAAUGAAACGAAGCGUAUUGUAAAAAGGGACAUGUGUCACUCUCUCCUCCCUCUAUUUGAUGACAUGGCAAGAGGAGAAGAGAGUGAAUCUCUUCUUUAUAGUAUAAGUAAUAAAAAAAUGAAUAAUUUCUUUUCUAAGAUAUUUUUUUAGGACAAUCAAAAUCACUCAUUGUGAUAAUUUCUGAAAAUAUUUCAGCAAAGAAUUUAAAGAUAUUUAUAUUAUUAUUUGUGAAGUAAUUUUUUCGUUUCCCUGUUAAAAGUUAAAACGUUUAAAGUUGUUAUUAUCUUUAUAAAUAAUUAGAUUAUAUUCCUAAUAUAUAACUACCCAUAAAUUCAAAACAAAUUUCUUUAAUUUGAAAAUCACCAUUAUCUAAAACGAUUUUAUAUCAUGUUAUCCAAAAAUAUUUUUCAUCAUAAUAUUUUUAAAAUAAAUAUAAAUCUAUGUAUAUAUUAAUGUUUUCAAGUUAAUUUAUGUAAUUAAAUAUAUUUUUUUAUCAUGCACAAAAAUUUAAUACUUAAUUAAUUAUCAAAUAUUUCAAAAAACAUGAAAAUAAUUUAUUCUUAUGGUUAAUGAAUUGAUAAUAUAUUUAUUUAAAAUUUUUUGUAAAAUUAUUAAAAUAUGAAAACACCUAAUUGAUCGUAUUUUGACCUGAACAACAAACACUCACGACAAUAGACAUUGUGUUUUGACCUUUAUCCGCUCUCGCGUAAAGAGAGUCGCAAAGAAACCCUUAAUCCAAUCAUUGUUUGGGUCAUCACUCUGG